rnacentral:rRNA from 1 species
GACGAACGCUGGCGGCGUGCUUAACACAUGCAAGUCGAGCGGAGCGGCGAACGGGUGAGUAACGCGUGAGUAACUGCCCCCCUCUCUGGGAUAACAGUUGGAAACGGCUGCUAAUACCUGAUAGUGGGGGAUGACUCGCGUCCUAUCAGCUUGUUGGUGGGGUAGUGGCCUACACAGGCGACGACGGGUAGCCGGCCUGAGAGGGCGACCGGCCACAUUGGGCGGAGAAACAGCCCAAACUCCUAGGGGAGGCAGCAGUGGGGAAUAUUGCAGAAUGGGGGAAACCCGGAUGCAGAAACGCCGAGUGCGGGAGGACGGCCUUCGGGUUGUAAACCGCUUUCAGCCAGGACGCGGUAGUGGCAGAAGAAGCACCGGCUAACGACGUGCCAGCAGCCGCGGUAAUAC